GAUGAACGCUGGCGGCGUGCCUAAUACAUGCAAGUCGAGCGAACGGACGCGACGCUUGUUUCUCUGAUGUUAGCGGCGGACGGGUGUGUCACACGUGUAUACCCUACCUAUCAGUCUGGGAUCACUUCGGGAAACCGGAGCUAAUACCGGAUGAUAUUCUGAACCGCAUGGUUCAAUAGUGAAAGACGGUCUUGCUGUCACUUAUAGAUGGAUCCGCGCUGCAUUAGCUAGUUGGUAAGGUAACGGCUUACCACGGCAACGAUGCAUAGCCGACCUGAGAGGGUGAUCGGCCACACGGGAACUGAGACACGGUCCAUAGGCCUACGGGAGGCAGCAGUAGGGAAUGUUCCGCAAUGGGCGAAAGCCUGACGGAGCGACGCCGCGUGAGUGAUGAAGGUCUUCGGAGCGGAAAACUCUGUUAUUAGGGAAGAACAGAUGUGUAAGGAACUGUGCACAUCGUGACGGUACCUAAUCAGAAAGCCACGGCUAACUACGUG
rnacentral:rRNA from 1 species